rnacentral:tRNA from 1 species
GAAGCCUUAGCUUAAUUAAAGUGUCUGAGUUGCAGUCAGAUGAUGUAGUAUAAGGUUCUACAGGUUUU